AUGCCCACCUUUGUGGAGAUUCCUCAUGCACAUUUAGCUGUCAGUGGUAGAGUAAUGAAUGUUGGUGGAGGUCAAGCAUUUAGAAGUGGAAUGAAUAUGGGCGGUACCAUUCAAGGUUUAUCCUCAAACUUGGGCACCAGUGGUAAUCUAAAUUAUGUUCCUGGAAACCCAGCUUUGGGUCCACGUAUUACAAACAUUGUGCGCAGAAGUAACAUUGGGAUAAAUAUAAGCUCUGGUGGGUUGUCGGUGCUGAUUAUCUCAUCACACAUCGAUUUUAGGGUCAAUGCUGCAAGUGGAAGACUAAAUGUGCAAGGAUCCAACAGGAUGAUGAAUGGCCUUAUUCUGCAAGGUAUGCCUGAUGGAGCGAUUGGGUUGAUGCUGAUGCUGAUAUACUUCCCUAAGUUGCUCCAAUCGGGAAUGCAGAUAUACUUCCGUGAGUUGCUCCCCAAAACCAAUCCCUUGCUCUUCUUUGCACCAAUGGUACAAGAGAUGCGAGCCAUCCUUUUUACUGGAUGUUCUCUUGAUCGUUUCUUCCUAUGGAUUUUGUGGUUGCCAGAUGUUCUCUCGCUGUGGAUUGGUAAAAAGACUAACUCUUAA
rnacentral:rRNA from 1 species